rnacentral:lncRNA from 1 species
GCGUCGGCGAUCCUCUCGCAUAUUGUGCUGAAACUCGCGUCGCAUGCUAUCAAUCCCCUGCAGGAUCUCCUGAACCUGCGGCGGCGACAUCAUAGGCGCCGGCGGAGGUGGUUGGUACUGCUGCGGCUGCGGCGGCUGGUAUUGUUGCGGUUGCGGUGGCUGCUGGUAACCCUGAGGGUAACCAAAAGUAGAUGGGCCAGCAGCCCAAGGGUCUCCAAGUGGACCACUAUGUGGGAGUGAGCUGAAGUUGGCAGCUUGCCAAUAAGGGUCUCCCGUGUAGUCGUAGCCCUGAGGAUAGAGCUGGGCGAAUGGGUCGAAUGGCGCUGAGCUGGCGAAGGCUGGAAUCGGCUCCCCGAAAUUCUGCGGCGGCAGAGGCGGGAUCGGAACAGAAGUAACCUCCGAUACGGGAUGCUGAGACUCCCCUGUCUCAGACUCCCCGGGUAGAGACGUGUAGCGGCUGCUACUAACACGUGGAGGGGUGCCUAUGCGAAUCCCUCCGCGCGUAGACAUGCGCGCGUUCCUCCUAGGCCUCUGAGGCGGAGGAGGUAAGACUGGUGGCGGCGGUGGUGACGGGGUGAUCACGUCACGCCACAGGGCCUCAGAUAGGUCCUGCGGUAGAGGCGGCUGCUGCUGAAGCUGCUGCGAGUGGUGCUGCGAGUGCACCGGUGAACCAUGGAGCGAUUGGAGCAUCGGAGUACCAUGGAGUGAUUGAAGCAUCAGAGAGUUGUGGCUAGGAGUGUGGUACCAAUCAUACUGCCGAAACCUCUCCUCGUAACUAUCCACACCAUUAAAUGGUGAUCCUGUGUAUGGUGACCCAUCCGAUAUCUCAAUCGGAUGGUUAGGCGUACCUGAUGGUGGUAGCGACGGGUCCGUAUCCUCGUCUACGUCCAUCUCGUGCCCUCCCGG